UAGGGAAUCUUCCACAAUGGACGCAAGUCUGAUGGAGCAACGGCCGCGUGAGUGAAGAAGGUUUUCGGACCGUAAAGCUCUGUUGUUGGUGAAGAAGGAUAGAGGUAGUAACUGGCCUUUAUUUGACGGUAAUCAACCAGAAAGUCACGGCUAACUACGUGCCAGCAGCCGCGGUAAUACGUAGGUGGCAAGCGUUGUCCGGAUUUAUUGGGCGUAAAGCGAGCGCAGGCGGAAGAAUAAGUCUGAUGUGAAAGCCCUCGGCUUAACCGAGGAAUUGCAUCGGAAACUGUUUUUCUUGAGUGCAGAAGAGGAGAGUAGAACUCCAUGUGUAGCGGUGGAAUGCGUAGAUAUAUGGAAGAAUACCAGUGGCGAAGGCGGCUCUCUGGUCUGCAAACUGACGCUGAGGCUCGAAAGCAUGGGUAGCGAACAGGAUUAGAUACCCUGGUAGUCCAUGCCGUAAAACGAUGAGUGCUAAGUGUUGGGAGGCUUCCGCCUCUCAGUGC
rnacentral:rRNA from 1 species